rnacentral:lncRNA from 1 species
AUCGAUACUUGUGCUUGACCAAUAUUGACUAAAUCCUCUGCCAAUCUUGUCACCUCGACAUUCAAGGCCUCAAUUUCAACCCUUAACCACUCCAUUUCAUAUCUGUAUUGGUCACUCAAUACUAAUUUCUCUUGUGCCAAUAACCCGGCCUUUUUUCUAUCCAUUACCAACUGACCCUUCACUUUUUCUAGUUUCAAAAUUAAAUGACUGCGAGCCCAAAAUAGUUCUUGCCUGAGGAUCUCUACCAUGCGUUGUCGUAUUACAUGCUUUCCUGCUCAAGAACGCGCCGGGCGUCUGGCUAUAGAAAGUAGUUUGUAGAUUCGCCAAUAGUUAAGCAGUCUAUAAGUUUUUGACUGCUGGAAUAUAAACGACUGCAAGAAUACACCGUAAAUCUAUACGGAUGCCCUUCGACUGCUU